ACGUAACGCGUCACCCCCCCAAUCUCGUCCACAAGGGUGAUCGGAUUUAGGGGGUGGAUGAUGGCCCCCCGUGCGCAUGGACGUGCGGUCGGCUUAAAUUCGAACCCGAGGUGACUCACGUCACGACCAGUGGUGGUUGAUAGCUCAACUCUCGUGCUGUCGUGUUGGUUGAUGUCGUCUCUCGGGUGUCUUGGUAGACCCAAACAGCACAAGAUUCUUGUGCUUUCGACU
rnacentral:misc_RNA from 1 species